UCUAGCCAUGGGCAGGUUGAAGGUUGGGUAACACUAACUGGAGGACCGAACCGACUAAUGUUGAAAAAUUAGCGGAUGACCUGUGGCUGGGGGUGAAAGGCCAAUCAAACCGGGAGAUAGCUGGUUCUCCCCGAAAGCUAUUUAGGUAGCGCCUCGUGAAUUCAUCUCCGGGGGUAGAGCACUGUUUCGGCUAGGGGGCCAUCCCGGCUUACCAACCCGAUGCAAACUGCGAAUACCGGAGAAUGUUAUCACGGGAGACACACGGCGGGUGCUAACGUCCGUCGUGAAGAGGGAAACAACCCAGACCGCCAGCUAAGGUCCCAAAGUCAUGGUUAAGUGGGAAACGAUGUGGGAAGGCCCAGACAGCCAGGAUGUUGGCUUAGAAGCAGCCAUCAUUUAAAGAAAGCGUAAUAGCUCACUGGUCGAGUCGGCCUGCGCGGAAGAUGUAACGGGGCUAAACCAUGCACCGAAGCUGCGGCAGCGA
rnacentral:rRNA from 1 species